CCAAGUGUACUCUUGACGCUAGUUGGAAUUCCUGAAGUGUAGAUGAUAUACAGCAUAGGCCCUAGUACACUACCUUGAGGAACGCCAGCCGUUAUCGACAUGUCUUUUGAAGUGAAAUUAGAUACUUUUACAGCAAAUUUUCUGUUAGUUAUGUAUGAUUCAAAUAUUUUGUGGAAUUCCGGCGGCAAAAUUUUUUUAAAUUUUAUAUAUAAGAUCGUCGUGCCACACUUUGUCGAAUGUUUGUGCCACAUCGAGAAAAAUUGCAGAGCAGUACUCUCUGAGCUCAAAUGCCCUUCUGUAGUGGGAUUCGCCAUUCUAUUUUAACGAUUAUCGAAUCGUUAAGAAAACUUAACGACGAUUUUAACGAUUUGACAAUUUGCUAAACAUAUUUUAACGAUAUUCGCGAUCGCUUGAUCAGCUGUUGUCGUUAACUACUCGAUUACUCGUUAAGUAAACGACGAAUAUUUUGAAGUUGUUAGCGGCAUCGACAAAAGAAAAUUUGAUAUUUCAUUUGAGUUUAAAUAAAAUAAUAUAGAUCGCGAAUUUACUUAAGUAAUAUAUAAAAGAAAAACUUUUUGUUAAAAAUGGCAUUUGAGUAUUUGGCAUACGUUUUAUCCCAAGAUGAGGAGAUAAUAAGCCCUUCAUCAGUGGAUAGACGUUUGCUUCGAGAAGUGGACAACCCUUUCCACUUGACUGCAACUGAGUUUCGUAACCUUUACCAAUUAACCCCACACUUGGUUGAAGAUAUUGUUCCUCAGCUUGAUAGCCAAUUAAGGGGUCGAAGAAUAACUGCGAUAACGACAGAGAAAUAGAUUUUAAAGGUUCUAACUGCCUUGCGAUUCUUCGCAACUGGCUGUUAUCAACGUCCCGUCGAAGAGCAAUGGGGGAUAUCCAUGAGCCAGUCGUCCGUAAGACACUGUAUACAUCGCGUAAUGGAUGCAAUAAACCGCACCAUGUUUUUGGCAAAGGUUAGGUUUCCAAUGACCCAAAUAGAGCGGCAAGCUGCAAAAGAAAUUUUCGCCUCAGCAUCCGCACCAUAUGUAGGAGGUACUAUUGGGGCUAUCGAUUGCACUCAUGUGUCAAUUAUGAGCCCAAAACAUCAUGAAGAAGCGUAUGCCAACCACCAUGGAUACCAUUCUAUCAAUGUGCAAAUGAUAUGUGAUCCAAAUCCAAAGAUUUUGGCUGUCAAUGCUAAAUACCCAGGAGCGCGACACGAUUCAUUUAUUUGGAGCUCCUCUGCAGCCCGGAGAGUUAUGCAGCGAAGUUUUGAAAAUGGAAACCAUAACAUGUUUUUGUUAAAACGUUGAUAAAUAAAAAUUCAGAAGGAAUACAAUAAAAUUAUUUUGGCAUUUUAUUAAACAUUUUUAUGUAAAUAAAAACUUGUAUCAAUAACUUC